rnacentral:rRNA from 1 species
UGGGGAAUAUUGCACAAUGGGGGAAACCCUGAUGCAGCGACGCCGCGUGAACGAAGAAGGUAUUCGUAUCGUAAAGUUCUGUCCUAUGGGAAGAUAAUGACAGUAUCAUAGAAGAAAGCUCCGGCUAAAUACGUGCCAGCAGCCGCGGUAAUACGUAUGGAGCGAGCGUUGUCCGGAAUUAUUGGGCGUAAAGGGUACGCAGGCGGAUUAAUAAGUCGAAUGUUAAAGAUCGGGGCUCAACCCCGCAAAGCAUUGGAAACUGAUAAACUUGAGUAGUGGAGAGGAAAGUGGAAUUCCUAGUGUAGUGGUGAAAUACGUAGAUAUUAGGAGGAAUACCAGUAGCGAAGGCGACUUUCUGGACACAAACUGACGCUGAGGUACGAAAGCGUGGGGAGCAAACAGG